rnacentral:rRNA from 1 species
GGAGAUCUUUUGGCACCUCUAAAAAUGGUGCAGAAUAAGGGGUGGGCAAGUCUGGUGUCAGCCGCCGCGGUAAUACCAGCACCCCGAGUGGUCGGGACGUUUAUUGGGCCUAAAGCAUCCGUAGCCGGUUCUACAAGUCUUCCGUUAAAUCCACCUGCUUAACAGAUGGGCUGCGGAAGAUACUAUGGAGCUAGGAGGCGGGAGAGGCAAGCGGUACUCGAUGGGUAGGGGUAAAAUCCGUUGAUCCAUUGAAGACCACCAGUGGCGAAGGCGGCUUGCCAGAACGCGCUCGACGGUGAGGGAUGAAAGCUGGGGGAGCAAACCGGAUUAGAUACCCGGGUAGUCCCAGCUGUAAACGAUGCAGACUCGGUGAUGAGUUGGCUUCAUGCCAACUCAGUGCCGCAGGGAAGCCGUUAAGUUUGCCGCCUGGGGAGUACGGUCGCAAGACUGAAACUUAA